CGUCUACUACAAGAUGUAUGUGGCUUGGUUAGACGAGUGAUAUACGUAGACAAUACUGGGGUUUGCAUAGUUUCCACAAUCUGACUAGAUUUGAGAGAAUCGAAAGAAAAUAUGUUGAA
rnacentral:ncRNA from 1 species